GGCGGGCCUCCAGCCGGGAGAGCACAAAGCCCGGCCUGGAGCUCGGAGCUCAGAACCGGCAACGCCGGGCUGCAGGCAGGCCGCCCCGGCGCCUUGGGGAAGGGGAGCUGAGCUCGCUGGCCUCUGGAACCCCGCGGCUUCUGGAGUCCUCUGCAGCCUUUCUACUUCUCAGUGGCGAGGGGAGAGGUCACACGUCUCUCGGCUCUCGGAAGGCCCGAGGCCCUGCCAGCCUCCUGCGACUCCAUGACCUUCACACGCCCGCUGUGUUUGUUCAGACCCCAGCAGGCGGGAGGGCCACAGGGCUGGGAGAGGGGUAUGAAUGGUCAGAGCGGACCGACCUCAGCUUCUGGGGGAGCUGCGGCCCUCGCCCCUCCUGUCAGCCUCGCUCUCAAACGGAGCCAAAGGGUCCUCAGAAAGGGAGAGGAUUUUCUGCCCACCCCUCCCAGCACUGCCCCCCAGUCACUCUGAAGAUGCGGCAGAUAAGAGGCAAAGAUGGGAUGUGGAAAGAAAAACCCUGUGGUUCACCCGCUCCCCCUCCCCCACUGCAGAAGUAACCUUUUCCCUUAUCAGAGGCCUGACAUUCCUACUGAAGUUUGACAAUCCACCCCCUACUCCAGCUCUCUGACCUACAGCCUUUUCCAACUUUUGGGGUGUCCCAGCGGCUGGCAGGGCUGGGGGAUGCCCCAAGAAAGUCAGCUCCCAUGAGAAGAACAGCUUGAAAAUUGUCAUUUCCCUGGGAAAUACUGCUUUUUUGGCUUCCUGUUUCGCCUACAUCUUCUGCUGCUUUGCUUGAUCAGGAAAGCGUGCCUGGAUGCCUGGACAGUGCUGACCGCAUCCUUUUUGAGGCCCAGUGCAGAAUGAAAAUACAGGCCCCUUGUUUCAAAAAGUAGGAAAGAAAGGACAAAGUAGACCUAUAGAGCCUACAGACCAAAGGAGAAAAGACCAGAGAGCCUGUUCUGCACAAAGGCAAAUAGAACUCUUCAUAUCCAAGAUAUCCAUCUUCACAUUGGAACAUGACAGACCCAGAGCUUGCAACACACAUAUUCCGAGGAUAAGCUGGUACAAACUCUUUUACAUGCGUUGCUUUAGAAAGGAAGAGAAGAAGAAAAAAGAGGAGAAAGAGAAAGAGAAGAGCAAAAAGUUAAAAGAAAAAAACUUAGUGUUUCAAAAAUCUAUUACUGAUGAAGACCAAGGGAGCUGUGAGGGGCCAGGGGCUGCUUGCUUUUAAAAUUCCAGUGAGGUGAUUCUGAGUCCUCUUCCACUAGCUGCCUCAGCCCCAACUCAAACCCAAGAUGGAAGCAUAACACACGUUGUUAAGUGAGCACCCAGUAGGUGCAAGAAGGACGCACACGAAGACUUGGGAAGACACAGCAAUGAUGCCAGCUGGUCCCACAGAAAAGUUGUUGUGCUCCAGUGCAUGCCACAUGCUUCAUGGGCAUAAGCCAAACCAGCUCCCAAAAGGGGGGCCAUGAUAAGAAAUGUGUUUCUCAGGAAGGUUAUGGGCUGAAGUGUGUCCCCAGAAUCAUACGUUGAAGCCCUAACCCCCAGUCCCUCAGAAUGUGACUGUAUUUGUAGAUAGGGCCUUCGGAGAGGUGAGUAAGUUAAAAUUAGGGUGGGCUCUCAUCCAAUUUGAGAGGUGAACCAGUAAGAGGGAAUUUGAAUCAGGGAUGGAGGCACCCCAGGGAAGGUCGUGUGAGGACACAGCCAGAAGGUGGCUACCUCCAAGCGAAGGAGAGAGGCCUCAGAGGAAACCAGAUGACGCCUUGAUCUUGGACUUCCAGCCUCCAGAACUGUGAGGAAAUCAGUAUGUGUUGUUUCGGCCGCUAGGUCUGUGGUAUUUUGCUGUGGCAGCCCCAGCAGACAUAGUUACAUAACUUUUAAGAGCUCCAGGGGUGCCCAGCCUUGAGAAGGAAGGAAAUUCUGACCCAUGCUACAACACAGAUGAACCCUGAGGACAUGACACUAAGGGAACUAAGACGUCAUAAAAGGACAAAUACUCUGUGAUCCCAUUCAGAUGUGGUAUCUCGAGUAAUCAAAUUCACAGAGACAGAAGAAAAAUGGGAGCUGCCAGGGGCCAGAGCAGGGAAUAAAGGGGAGUUAUUAUUUAAUGGGUGCGGAGUUUCAGUUUCGCAAGAUGAAAAGAGUGCUGGCGAUUGAGAGUGGUGAUGGCUGCCAACAGUGUGACUGCACUUAAUGCCAAUUGAAAAAAUGGUUAAAAUGGUGAGUUUUAUGACAUGUGUAUUUUACACAAUAAAAACUUAAUUAAAAAAAAAAAGCUUAGGGGGCUCCCAGGCUCCCACUCUUCCUAAAGUUCAGUCUCACUGAAAUCUUGGCUAAUUGCUGUUGGAGAGAUGAAGGGAGGGAGUUGGAGGAGGCGGAGGGAGCGGGGCAGACAGGACUCAGGGCUAGCAAGGCCAGCUUCCUUUUGCUGCACCAUCAGAAAUGUGCCUGCGGACUCAGAUGAAAGCUGUUCUGGCCCCGCCUGCUUUUGAAAGCCAGAGUUGCAAUGCAUGCCCAGGAUCCUUGCCCUUGUCAGUAAUGAUAAUGGAGGAGAACAUGAUUUCCAAAUGGGAGGCUGAAGUCCCUGAGGUUUUUGUUUCUGGUUUUGUUUUUUUUUUUUCUUUUUCUUUUAAUGCCUUUUUCCUCUUGUUUCUCAGCAACUCCUGGGCCUGCUCUUUAUCCCACACAGAAAGAACACACAUUCUCAGUAAUGGUCAAAGCACCUUUCACUUUCUCCCACAGCAGCAACACAUCUGAACACAUCUGAACAGCCUUUCGCUAAGGCAUGGGUUCCCAUGCCAAGCCCAAGACCUAAGGAGUUUGGGCCCUUGGUAGCUGCCCACUCUUUUGGUUUGGACUAAGCGAUACUGCCCGCCCUGUGGAACCCCAAAGCACCGCACCCAUGGAGUCUGAGAAAGGCAUGUGGUCCAGGCUCUGUCUCUCUUUGUCUGUCCUCUGCCUUGAGCCCCCGGUGUGAACCCUCCAGGUGUGCCAUGUACUCGAUUCAGGACCUGUGAGUCAGAAGCCUCUGUUUCAGUUUCUCUCUCAGCUUACCAUCUCCACCCCGGGCUCCACUGAACAAAGUCAGAGCAUGCAGACAGCCCCAAUCUGAGGGACAUCCUCCAACAUAACUGGCCUUGAACUGUUCAAAAGAUGUCAGGGGCCAUGGAAGGCCAAGGAAGCACUAAGAAGCUAUCCCAGAUUGAAGGAGACAAGAUACAACCCAUGGUAACCUGGUUCUGGGCUGGAUUGUCUCGCCAUAAAGGACAUGAUUGGGACGAUUGGCACAACUCAGCUGGGGCUGAGGACUAGACUGCGGCGGUACAGCAGUGUUUAUUUCCUGACUUGGAUGGAAGCCGACCCACGGUUACAUAGAACAAUGUUCUUGAUUGAAGGAAUCCCAUACGGAAGUAUUCAGGGACGAUGUGCCAUUAGACUGGUGAUUUUCUACCAAAUCUUUCGGAAAAAAAGGUAAUUCUUUGUAUGCUUCUCCAGCUCUUCUACAUGUGUAAGUUUGUUUCAAAAGAAAAAAAAAAAAAGGAAACGGUGUCGUGUUUGGUUGGGAGGGAGGCCAUGGUCACUGAGCCUGUUUUUCAGGUGUUCUUAAGCACGAGCCUGAGAACUUUGAGUUCAAAAAACCUUGAACUUGAAUCACCUCUAAGAGAACUCCUAGAGGGACAUUGGUGGAAAUGGGAUGGAGGGAUAUCAGAUGAACAAGUUUGUACAUAAUCUUGCUACUUGGGUAGAAGGACUCGAGGUGAUUUCGUGUGCA